CAGCUUGCUGUUUCGCUGACAAUGGAGGAAGGGUGAGUAAUGUCUGGGAAACUGCCUGAUGGAGGGGGAUAACUACUGGAAACGGUAGCUAAUACCGCAUAACGUCACAAGACCAAAGAGGGGGACCUUUGGGCCUCUUGCCAUCGGAUGUGCCCAGAUGGGAUUAGCUAGUAGGUGGGGUAACGGCUCACCUAGGCGACGAUCCCUAGCUGGUCUGAGAGGAUGACCACCCACACUGGAACUGAGACACGGUCCAGACUCCUACGGGAGGCAGCAGUGGGGAAUAUUGCACAAUGGGCGCAAGCCUGAUGCAGCCAUGCCGCGUGUAUGAAGAAGGCCUUCGGGUUGUAAAGUACUUUCAGCGGGGAGGAAGGGAGUAAAGUUAAUACCUUUGCUCAUUGACGUUACCCGCAGAACAAGCACCGGCUAACUCCGUGCCAGCAGCCGCGGUAAUACGGAGGGUGCAAGCGUUAAUCGGGAAUUACUGGGCGUAAAGCGCACGCAGGCGGUUUGUUAUGUCAGAUGUGCAAAUCCCCGGGGCUCAACCUGGAGAUACUGCAUCGUGAUAACUGGGCAAGUCUUGUAGUUCUCGUAGAGGAGAGGGUUAGUAAUUUCCAUGUCGUUAG
rnacentral:rRNA from 1 species